rnacentral:rRNA from 1 species
AGUGAACGCUGGCGGCGUGCCUAAUACAUGCAAGUCGAACGGAGUUGCGCACGGGUGAGUAAUAUAUAGCUAAUCUGCCCCUUGCUGGAGGACAACAGUUAGAAAUGACUGCUAAUACUCCAUAGCAAGGGAUGUGACUAUAUCGUAUCAGCUAGUCUGUGUGGUAACGGCCAACCGAGGCUAUGACGCGUAACUGGUCUGAGAGGAUGAUCAGUCACAUUGGAACUGAGGCACGGUCCAAACUCCGACGGGAGGCAGCAGUAGGGAAGAUGGCGCAAUGGGGGAAACCCUGAGGCAGCAACGCCGCGUGGAGGAUGACACUUUUCGGAGCGUAAACUCCUUUUGUAAGGGGAGCGGUACCUAACGAAUAAGCACCGGCUAACUCCGUGCCAGCCGCCGCGGUAAUAC